GGCCUCGUAGCUUAGUUGGUUAGAGCGUUGGCUAUACUAAAGCCUUCCACUUGCUGGCAUGGGUUCAAAUCCCACUGAGACCG
rnacentral:tRNA from 1 species